CUUAAGCAUAUCAAUAAGCGGAGGAAAAGAAACCAACAGGGAUUGCCCUAGUAACGGCGAGUGAAGCGGCAACAGCUCAAAUUUGAAAUCUGGCGCAAGCCCGAGUUGUAAUUUGUAGAGGAUGCUUCUAGGUAGCGACCGGUCUAAGUUCCUUGGAACAGGACGUCAUAGAGGGUGAGAAUCCCGUAUGUGACCGGCCCGCACCUUCUACGUAGCUCCUUCGACGAGUCGAGUUGUUUGGGAAUGCAGCUCUAAAUGGGAGGUAAAUUUCUUCUAAAGCUAAAUACCGGCCAGAGACCGAUAGCGCACAAGUAGAGUGAUCGAAAGAUGAAAAGCACUUUGGAAAGAGAGUUAAAAAGCACGUGAAAUUGUUGAAAGGGAAGCGCUUACAACCAGACUUCUGGGCGGUGUUCCGCCGGUCUUCUGACCGGUCUACUCGCCGUCCCGAGGCCAACAUCAUCUGGGACCGCUGGAUAAGACCUCAGGAAUGUAGCUUCCCUCGGGAAGUGUUAUAGCCUGUGGUGAUGCAGCGCGUCUCGGGUGAGGUCCGCGCUUCGGCAAGGAUGUUGGCGUAAUGGUUGUCAGCGGCCCGUCUUGAAACACGGACCAAGGAGUCUAACAUCUAUGCGAGUGUUCGGGUGUCAAACCCCUACGCGUAAUGAAAGUGAACGGAGGUGGGAAGCGCAAGCUGCACCAUCGACCGAUCCUGAUGUCCUCGGAUGGAUUUGAGUAAGAGCAUAGCUGUUGGGACCCGAAAGAUGGUGAACUAUGCCUGAAUAGGGUGAAGCCAGAGGAAACUCUGGUGGAGGCUCGCAGCGGUUCUGACGUGCAAAUCGAUCGUCAAAUUUGGGUAUAGGGGCGAAAGACUAAUCGAACCAU
rnacentral:rRNA from 1 species